rnacentral:rRNA from 1 species
AGUGAACGCUGGCGGUAGGCCUAACACAUGCAAGUCGAACGGCAGCACAGUAAGAGCUUGCUCUUACGGGUGGCGAGUGGCGGACGGGUGAGGAAUACAUCGGAAUCUACUUUUUCGUGGGGGAUAACGUAGGGAAACUUACGCUAAUACCGCAUACGACCUACGGGUGAAAGCAGGGGAUCUUCGGACCUUGCGCGAUUGAAUGAGCCGAUGUCGGAUUAGCUAGUUGGCGGGGUAAAGGCCCACCAAGGCGACGCUCCGUAGCUGGUCUGAGAGGAUGAUCAGCCACACUGGAACUGAGACACGGUCCAGACUCCUACGGGAGGCAGCAGUGGGGAAUAUUGGACAAUGGGCGCAAGCCUGAUCCAGCCAUACCGCGUGGGUGAAGAAGGCCUUCGGGUUGUAAAGCCCUUUUGGUGGGAAAGAAAAGCAGCAGGUUAAUACCCCGCUGUUCUGACGGUACCCAAAGAAUAAGCACCGGCUAACUUCGUG